GACGAACGCUGGCGGCGUGCCUAAUACAUGCAAGUAGAACGCACAGUCUAUACCGUAGCUUGCUACACCAUAAACUGUGAGUUGCGAACGGGUGAGUAACGCGUAGCUAAUCUGCCUGGUAGCGGGGGAUAACUAUUGGAAACGAUAGCUAAUAUCGCAUAAUCUUAAUUAUUGCAUGAUAAUUGAUUGAAUGAUGCAAUCGCAUCACUACCAGAUGGACCUGCGUUGUAUUAGCUAGUAGGGGAGGUAACGGGUCACCCAAGCGAAGAUACAUAGCCGGCCUGGGGAGGUGGACGGCCAAACCGGGAACGGAGACACGGCCCAGCUCCCUACGGGAGGAAGAGGUGGGGAAUCUCGGCCAAGGGCGGAAAUCCGGACGAACAAAGCCGGGGGGGUGGAGGAGGGUUUCGGGUCGUAAAACUCUGUUGUAAGGGAAAGAAGAGUGUGGGAGUGAAAAGUGCACACUGUGACGGUAUCUUACCAGAAAGGGACGGCUAACUACGUG
rnacentral:rRNA from 1 species